rnacentral:antisense_RNA from 1 species
UUGGCGGUGUAGUCCCAGAUCCGCUCGGCGUCGAUCAGCGCCUGCUCACCGAACGCCUCGCCGUCGGCCAGCACACCCAGGUUGACCGGGUCGCCGUAGGCGCCCACGCCGACCUUGUUCACCUUGCCGUGCGCGAUCACGUAGACCUGGUCGGCGAUCGAGCCGAACUCCACGAUCACCUGGCCGGGCUGGUACUCCUGCUGGACGAACUUGUCGGCCAUGUCGGCGAGCACUUCGGGAUCGUCGAACUCGCUGAGCACGGAGAGCUCACGCAGUUCGGCGGGGACGACGCGGACCUGGGCGCCGACGUUGGUGAAGCUGAGCCGGCCGUCGCCGAUCCGGUAGGUCAUCCGCCGGUUCACCCGGAAGGCGCCGCCGGAGACCUGCACCCACGGCAGCUUGCGCAGCAGCCACCGCGAGGUGAUCUCCUGCAUCUGCGGGACCGUCUUGGUGGUGGUGGUCAGGUUCCGGGCCGCCGCCGUGCUGAGACUGCUCUGGCGUUCCCG